CACGGGGGGUCCGAUGUUAGGCCACGCCCCCGAAUUUGCUUGGCUCCUGGCGUCGGCGGUAGUCUGUGUGGCCUGCCCCUCACUGCUUCCUCUGUGGGGACUUGGAGGUGACAGGGACCUGCGGCAGUGUGGUGCCAUGAAGGGGCAAGCAGCAGUACUAGCAGGAGGAGGUGGUCCAGCCAGUCCAGCCGCACUCACCUUUUUUACCACUCUCUGACGCUGUUGCCCGACGUCAUGAUCCAACAAAAAACAGAAGAAGGGACCCACUGCUGCCGGAGAAGAAAGGGGACCCGCUUUUCCUGUCACUGAUGAGAAGGGGGACCCACUACUGCCCGAGCGCUACAUGCGCCUCUAUCUGGUUUCCAUGGUGAUGGUUUCAUGCACGUAAUAUGCUAAUGGCACUAUGACAUCAUUCCCGCAGCCCCCGCCCGGAUGUUCGGGCGUGGAUCAGCUGAGGGAUUUCACGCGGGUGGUUUAAAAAGAUUAUACAGUAUUCUAAAAGAGUCUGUCAGUACGGCAAUGCGCAGCCUAUGAUGACGUCAUUAGUGGGUGUUUUUUCACUGAACCUGGACGCUGAUUUGUGGUGGCAGA